rnacentral:rRNA from 1 species
CCUACGGGGGGCAGCAGUGAGGAAUAUUGGUCAAUGGGCGGAAGCCUGAACCAGCCAAGUAGCGUGCGGGAUGAAGGUCCUACGGGUCGUAAACCGCUUUUGCACGGGGAUAACACCCUCUACGUGUGCAGGUCUGCAGGUACCCUGCGAAUAAGGGCCGGCUAAUUCCGUGCCAGCAGCCGCGGUAAUACGGAAGGCCCGAGCGUUAUCCGGAUUUAUUGGGGUUAAAGGGGGCGUAGGCGGUCGGUUAAGUCAGCUGUCAAAUGGCGGGGCUCAACCCCGCCACGCAGUUGAAACUGGCCGGCUUGAGUGCGCAACAGGUAGGCGGAAUUCGUGGUGUAGCGGUGAAAUGCAGAGAUAUCACGAGGAACCCCGAUUGCGAAGGCAGCCUGCCGGGGUGCGACUGACGCUGAGGCUCGAAGGUGCGGGUAUCAAACAGGAUGAGAUACCCGGGUAGUC